rnacentral:rRNA from 1 species
UACAUGCAAAGUCGAGCGAGCGGAACGUAACAGAUUUACUUCGGGUAAUGGGCGUUAGGGAAAGCGAGCGGCGGAUGGGUGAGUAACACGUGGGGAACCGUGCCCCCAUAGUCUGGGAUACCACUUGGAAACAGGUGCUAAUACCGGAUAAGAAAGCAGAUCGCAUGAUCAGCGUUUAAAAAAGGCGGCGUAAGCUGUCGCUAUGGGAUGGCCCCGCGGUGCAUUAGCUAGUUGGUAAGGUAAAGGCUUACCAAGGCGAUGAUGCAUAGCCGAGUUGAGAGACUGAUCGGCCACAUUGGGACUGAGACACGGCCCAAACUCCUACGGGAGGCAGCAGUAGGGAAUCUUCCACAAUGGACGCAAGUCUGAUGGAGCAACGCCGCGUGAGUGGAGAAGGUUUUCGGAUCGUAAAGCUCUGUUGUUGGUGAAGAAGGAUAGAGGUAGUAACUGGCCUUUAUUUGACGGUAAUCAACCAGAAAGUCACGGCUAACUACGUGCCAGCAGCCGCGGUAAAU